rnacentral:rRNA from 1 species
UACAGAGGGUGCGAGCGUUAAUCGGAAUUACUGGGCGUAAAGGGCGCGUAGGCGGUUUAUUAAGUUAGAUGUGAAAUUUCUGGGCUUAACCUAGAACUUGCAUUUAAGACUGAUGAGCUAGAGUAUUGUAGAGGGAAGUGGAAUUUCCGGUGUAGCGGUGAAAUGCGUAGAUAUCGGAAAGAACAUCAGUGGCGAAAGCGACUUCCUGGACCAAUACUGACGCUCAUGUGCGAAAGCGUGGGGAGCAAACAGG